UUUAAAGCUGACAGUCCUUCCCUGUUACAGUCACUGAGACACACAGAUGACAUGGCUUCACUGGGGAUGAUCGUCUGCACGCUAGUGCUCUUUGCUCAAGAGUCAAGAGGUGACAUUGUGGUCACUCAGUCUCCAACAUUUCUGUCUGCUCCACUGGGAGGCACAGUGAAAAUCAACUGUAAAUCUGUGACAGCGAUAGAUGAUGACAUGGCCUGGUACCACCAAAGACCUGGACAAGAACCUAAACUUCUGAUUUAUGAAGGUCCCAAACGCUUCACUGGAGUUCCUGACAGGUUCUCAGCAUCUGGAUAUGACUUUGAUUUCAAUUUAACAAUCAGCAACAUCCAGGCAGAAGAUGCAGGAGAUUACUAUUGUCAACAGCAUGAAGCAAGACCUCUCACACAGUGAAACACAGCUGUACAAAACCUCCCUAGCUGUACAAAAGCUGCUCUGGCUCAGAAAUCAAACCUCAGAAACUAUCCUGUGAACAGACAACCAAUGGCACCUGGGCUGGGCACUACCUGAGUUGGAUGCUGCAUCGCCGCCAUAGAUCCAAGAGGGACAUCAUGGAUAUAGCUAUCGUGUAGGAAGAUUUUGCUGGUCUACAGAGAUCUGCGUGGAGUACUGACAUACAGAAGACAUGGUGGAUGGGUGGAUUUAUACCCCCAUUCAUUUAUUUCUUUUUAAAAAUUUUAUAAUGUUAGCAUGUCCAAAGGGGUUGGGCAGCCAGCUGACC